rnacentral:tRNA from 2 species
GCCCGGAUGGUGGAAUUGGUAGACACGCAGGACUUAAAAUCCUGUUCCCGUUGAGGGAGUGCGGGUUCGAUUCCCGCUCCGGGUA